rnacentral:tRNA from 1 species
GGCUCCAUAGUGUAGUGGUUAGCACGUCUGCUUUACACGCAGAAGGUCCUGGGUUCGUGCCCCAGGUGGAGCCA